UGUAAGCGGCCAAGGGCAUCUAAUAGGAAGGUUAACAUUUGGGAAGUGGGAACUAAGAAGGGCGAUGGCUUUCCGGCGCCGCCGGUUUGCCAAUCCUUCUCACACACUCACAACGGCUUCUUCUCACAGAACAAACUCUCCAUAUCAGUUCCGUAGAAUCUCCCGACAUCGCGAAAGCUUUCCCCUCCACCCAUUCAAUCGUUCGUUUACAGCGCGCCGUCUGGGAUUCUCAUUAUAAAUUCAUCUUCUUCAUGUUUUACAGGGGUGUCCACUAAGAGUGUAUGAGAGAUGAGAUUAGGAUCUUCCAGGAGGACUGCUUGCCAAUGUGGAGACAAAACCAUAUGGGGACAAUGUUCUUUGAAGCUUUUCAUGAGUAUUAAUGGCUGUGUGGUAGCUCCCAUAGGAAGAAGUUUACCUUUUUUUGGAUAAUGCUCUUUCCAAAUCAAAUCAUUGAUAGGCAAAGCAUAAUAUGUGUUAGAGGGACUCUAUCACGCAAGAGAGAUCCGUUGGAGAAGAUACCAUUCGGUUCGGACGUCCAUAAUCGUUUGUCAGGACUAUGAGACUAGGAGAUUGUGGACAAGCAUUGCAUAAGAGCUCCAUAUUCAUCGAUUUCUAUAUCUGUUUGGUUUCUUCUCAACCUCAAAUUCCAGAAGGCAGAAUCCACCAUUAUUUAAGAGAAGAAUAAGUUACGAAGGGAAAGUGUGUUUUAUGUUUUGGACGAUGAAGAUUGCAUUUAGUAGGUAACUGAAUGAUUUGUCAUGUUCUUAGCCUAUUUAUAAAUCUGGUGUCGUAAAAUUCUUAUAUUCUCUCAUUAUAUUGAGAAAGUACACCACUCUUUACAAAAGUUGUAUGUUUAUCUGUUUAUUUGUCUGUCAAUCUGUAGUUUUGAAGAUUGCAUAAAUGACUCUGUUAUUAUAUACUUGUUGCAAGCCCAUGAUAGCUUACCGGCGAUCAAAAAGUUUAGAAGAACCCCAUUCAGUUUUUGUUUAUCUUCUUCUUUUAGCCAAAAUAUGGAAUGUGUGUGCAUGCGCAUGUUCAUAUGCCUGAGAUAGCUGAAAUCUCAAUAUGACAACACAAUACUUCAACGAAGUCUAUUCACACAGAUUCCAUCACAGGAGGUGUUAAAUCUGGUUUGUCGAUCAGCCACGAUUAGAUUGUGUAAACUGUAAACCAAAGCUCUGAUAGGUUUUCGGUCUAUUGCAUCUGUUGACGACAUUCAAUCUCAAAUUCAUGUGUUAUGUAUCUUGUUUACCUUUUCUAUUUCCAAUUUUGUUGAGGAAGAAUGAUGUAGAAAAAUGUCAUUUUCUUUCUAGGCAGCAGAAAAGUAAUGAAAUUUGAUAUCUCACAUCUACAUGUUCGGUUGAUUAGGGGUGUUCGAAAAAUCCCACAAUCCAGAUUAUCCAAUCCAAACUACAAGGGUUGGGUUGUAUUAGUUUUUUUCUUAGAUUGGGUUGGGUUUAACUUUUUUUUUUGUUUUUGUUAGGUUGGGUUGGUCUCAGGUUGGUUAAGUAAAAAAUUCGAAUUGACUCAGUUCAACUCGAAUUACACGUAUGUGCCCGUGCACACAUAUAUUUUUCUCUUGAAUUUAUGAAUUUUUAAUAUUUUUCUUUUAAAA